rnacentral:rRNA from 1 species
AAAACUUUCAACAACGGAUCUCUUGGUUCUGGCAUCGAUGAAGAACGCAGCGAAAUGCGACAAGUAAUGUGAAUUGCAGAAUUCAGUGAAUCAUCGAAUCUUUGAACGCACAUUGCGCCCCUCGGUAUUCCGGGGGGCAUGCCUGUUCGAGCGUCAUU